CCUACGGGAGGCAGCAGUAAGGAAUAUUGGUCAAUGGACGAAAGUCUGAACCAGCCAUGCCGCGUGAAGGAUGAAGGCCCUCUGGGUUGUAAACUUCUUUUAUCUGGGACGAAAAAAGGGUAUUCUUACUCACUUGACGGUACCAGAGGAAUAAGCACCGGCUAACUCCGUGCCAGCAGCCGCGGUAAUACGAAGGGUGCAAGCGUUAUCCGGAUUCACUGGGUUUAAAGGGAGCGUAGGUGGGCUGAUAAGUCAGUGGUGAAAUCUCCGGGCUUAACCCGGAAACUGCCAUUGAUACUAUUAGUCUUGAAUUAUCUGGAGGUAAGCGGAAUAUGUCAUGUAGCGGUGAAAUGCUUAGAUAUGACAUAGAACACCAAUUGCGAAGGCAGCUUGCUACGGAUUGAUUGACACUGAGGCUCGAAAGCGUGGGGAUCAAACAGGAUUAGAUACCCUGGUAGUCCACGCCCUAAACGAUGGAUACUCGACAUCAGCGAUACACUGUUGGUGUCUGNGNGAAGANAUAUAUCCACCNGAGACGACGCGAGUAGAACGACGAAGAAGUAGACGCGUGAGACGNGACGACGGACGACGACGAGGGAGGAGG
rnacentral:rRNA from 1 species